CAGUUCGGAUUGUAGGCUGCAACUCGCCUACAUGAAGUUGGAAUCGCUAGUAAUCGCGAAUCAGCAUGUCGCGGUGAAUACGUUCCCGGGUCUUGUACACACCGCCCGUCACACCACGAGAGUUUACAACACCCGAAGUCAGUGGCCUAACCGCAAGGAGGGAGCUGCCUAAGGUGGGGUAGAUGAUUGGGGUGAAGUCGUAACAAGGUACC
rnacentral:rRNA from 1 species